rnacentral:lncRNA from 1 species
CCCAACCAAACAAGGGUACUUCUUUUUGCAGUGACUAAAGUGUUCUUUCCUCCCACAUCCCCAAUUGUUCAAUAUAUAAUUAGAGGCUGCAAUCACAAGAAAAAAAAAAAAAAAAAAAAAAAACAGGGCAAAGAAUCUUAUUGGCUCGCAGGCAAUUUACUUCACUCAGCUCUUCUAUCACAUAGCAGAUCCUGGUGUUACUUUUCCAACCUUCAAUUAUAAACAUUCAAUCU